UGAAGUUCUGUGCUGAUCUACCUGAAAGCGUUUGAGUUGUGAUUUAAAAACUUGCUAUUUUAAGCCAUUUAAAAAAACGCAAUCAGCAGCGACCGAGAAUUAAUUUCGCUAUAUGCACGUGCUGUCUGAGAGAUUGUUUCCGAGCUCGGUCGAGAGGAGCGUGCACCUGUCAGCACUCCCUGCAAGUUUUCUUCCACUUUCACAACUUAACAAGACUUUCUAGCAGCGCCAGAGGGCUUCAAGCAGUUGCUUUGAGGAGAACCAGACCCCAAAACAGAUUGGAUCGCUCAUCAGUGUCUACCUGUCCCAGUGUGAGUGUGUGCUGCAUGCUGACACACUUGUGCUGAACUUGAUGAACUUCAGCUGAAGUCUCGAUGGGGUUCUAUUUUGGCAGCUGAAAGUUUGCCUGGUGGUUUCUGGCUGAGGAGAGACACACAGUCUCACUUCCUUCUUGAACAAACUGUGGCCUGAGCCUCACCAUGGACACUUUAAAUCAGGAUCCAUCAAGAGGAACAUAUGGGGAGCAUAUGUGUCUAGUCACAUUCUUCAGCAGACCUGACCCACCACAGAGACCCAGGCUACAACCGACCUGACCCGGCAAGAGCGGGGACAACGUGCUGCCUUUUCACUUAACCAGAGAUGUCUGCCAAUGACUCAACUCGACACCAAAAAGAUCCUCUGUACUGCGUCUCACCCUCUUCACUUUCAGUUCAACCGGAACAAUGCAUAUCGAAGACCAGCA